rnacentral:rRNA from 1 species
AUUGAACGCUGGCGGCAGGCCUAACACAUGCAAGUCGAACGGUAACAGGAAGAAGCUUGCUUCUUUGCUGACGAGUGGCGGACGGGUGAGUAAUGUCUGGGAAACUGCUUGAUGGAGGGGGAUAACUACUGGAAACGGUAGCUAAUACCGCAUAACGUCUCAAGCCCAAAGAGGGGGACCUUCGGGCCUCUUGCCAUCGGCUUUGCCCAGAUGGGAUUAGCUAGUAGGUGGGGUAACGGCUCACCUAGGCGACGAUCCCUAGCUGGUCUGAGAGGAUGACCAGCCACACUGGAACUGAGACACGGUCCAGACUCCUACGGGAGGCAGCAGUGGGGAAUAUUGCACAAUGGGCGCAAGCCUGAUGGAGCCAUGCCGCGUGUAUGAAGAAGGCCUUCGGGUUGUAAAGUACUUUCAGCGGGGAAGAAGGGAGUAAAGUUAAUACCUUUGCACAUUGACGUUACCCGCAGAAGAAGCACCGGCUAACUCCGUG